CCUGGUGACCAUAGGCGAGGGGUUCCACCCGUUCCCAUCCCGAACACGGCCGUUAAGCCCUCAGCCGCCAAUGGUAGUCGGACGUAAGGUCCUGCGAGAGUAGGUCGUUGCCAGGU
rnacentral:rRNA from 2 species